rnacentral:rRNA from 1 species
AACGAACGCUGGCGGCAUGCCUAACACAUGCAAGUCGAACGAGACCUUCGGGUCUAGUGGCGCACGGGUGCGUAACGCGUGGGAACCUGCCCUUAGGUUCGGAAUAACUCCCCGAAAGGGGUGCUAAUGCCGGAUAAUGUCUUCGGACCAAAGAUUUAUCGCCUUUGGAUGGGCCCGCGUUGGAUUAGCUAGUUGGUAGGGUAAAAGCCUACCAAGGCGACGAUCCAUAGCUGGUCUGAGAGGAUGAUCAGCCACACUGGGACUGAGACACGGCCCAGACUCCUACGGGAGGCAGCAGUGGGGAAUAUUGGACAAUGGGCGAAAGCCUGAUCCAGCAAUGCCGCGUGAGUGAUGAAGGCCUUAGGGUUGUAAAGCUCUUUUACCCGGGAUGAUAAUGACAGUACCGGGAGAAUAAGCUCCGGCUACCUCCGU